rnacentral:rRNA from 1 species
GUACACUCCUGCGGGAGGCAGCAGUGGGGAAUCUUGCGCAAUGGGCGAAAGCCUGACGCAGCCAUGCCGCGUGAAUGAUGAAGGUCUUAGGAUUGUAAAAUUCUUUCACCGGGGACGAUAAUGACGGUACCCGGAGAAGAAGCCCCGGCUAACUUCGUGCCAGCAGCCGCGGUAAUACGAAGGGGGCUAGCGUUGCUCGGAAUUACUGGGCGUAAAGGGAGCGUAGGCGUACAUUUAAGUCAGGGGUGAAAUCCCGGGGCUCAACCUCGGAAUUGCCUUUGAUACUGGGUGUCUUGAGUAUGAGAGAGGUGUGUGGAACUCCGAGUGUAGAGGUGAAAUUCGUAGAUAUUCGGAAGAACACCAGUGGCGAAGGCGACACACUGGCUCAUUACUGACGCUGAGGCUCGAAAGCGUGGGGAGCAAACAGGAUUAGAAACCCCGGUAGUCCCAUG